UACGGAGGGAGCUAGCGUUGUUCGGAAUUACUGGGCGUAAAGCGCACGUAGGCGGCUUUGUAAGUAAGAGGUGAAAGCCCAGAGCUCAACUCUGGAAUUGCCUUUUAGACUGCAUCGCUUGAAUCAUGGAGAGGUCAGUGGAAUUCCGAGUGUAGAGGUGAAAUUCGUAGAUAUUCGGAAGAACACCAGUGGCGAAGGCGGCUGACUGGACAUGUAUUGACGCUGAGGUGCGAAAGCGUGGGGAGCAAACAGG
rnacentral:rRNA from 1 species